rnacentral:lncRNA from 1 species
AUAAUAUUCAACAGCUAUUUUUAUUAUGCUUAAGGAAAUCUGCAAAAUUCUAUUAUUUCCUAUACACGAAGUACCAAAAAACUAGUAAGAAAUAUGAUGGAUGAACAACAAGCUUCCCUGGAUUAUUUAUCUAAUCAGGUUAAUGAGCUCGUGAAUCGAAUUCUUCUUUUGACUACAGAAGUUUUUAGGAAACAGCUGGAUCCUUUUCCUCACAGAACAGUUCAGUCACAUGGUGAGAGUGCUGAUAUUUCAGUUUUUUCAUUCUGUAUUUUAUUGCUUAAAAUUUUCGUGGAUAGCUUAGUUCAUUUAAAAGUUUUGUUUAAAAAAUGCAGCUUGUUAUUAUCUAACAGACUGGAAAGCUAAUACUUGCCAUUAAGUAAAUUAUACCACACACAAUGUGUACUUUCUCAAAGGGGAAAAGGUUUUGAACCAUUUGAAAACUAUACCUGUACAAAGACAUCCUAGGUCUGUUGACAAUAGCACAGUUCUAGGUUGCUUUACUCUGGGCUUCUCCUUUUGGCAUUUUAUUAAUAAUUACUUUUCAAACAGAAGAAAAGUAAGUUUCAGAAUUCCUCCCACCUGUAAAAAUGUUUUUUGACAUGUUUGAAAUGUUUCAAACUGGGAUAUCACAUUUGAAAAGAAACAGAUACUUAAGAUAGAAAUAAAGAGAAAGUUAGCACUUUUUUUUGGACUAAACUACAGCAUAUUAAUUCCUAUAAGGUUGAGCUUGUAAGAAAAACAUUUUGUAAGCCUACAGAAUGAAUUCAUAUCCAGAAGUUCUAAGCAAGUAAAUUUCAUUGAGGGCC